AUUGAACGCUGGCGGCAGGCCUAACACAUGCAAGUCGAGCGGAUGAAGGGAGCUUGCUCCUGGAUUCAGCGGCGGACGGGUGAGUAAUUCCUAGGAAUCUGCCUGGUAGUGGGGGAUAACGUCCGUAAACGGGCGCUAAUACCGCAUACGUCCUGAGGGUGAACGUGGGGGAUCUUCGGACCUCACGCUAUCAGAUGAGCCUAGGUCGGAUUAGCUAGUUGGUGGGGUAAAGGCCUACCAAGGCGACGAUCCGUAACUGGUCUGAGAGGAUGAUCAGUCACACUGGAACUGAGACACGGUCCAGACUCCUACGGGAGGCAGCAGUGGGGAAUAUUGGGCAAUGGGCGAAAGCCUGAUCCAGCCAUGCCGCGUGUGUGAAGAAGGUCUUCGGAUUGUAAAGCACUUUAAGUUGGGAGGAAGGGCAGUAAGUUAAUACCUUGCUGUUUUGACGUUACCAACAGAAUAAGCACCGGCUAACUUCGUG
rnacentral:rRNA from 1 species